GCUAAACGCGAAGAACCUUACCAGGGCUUGACAUGCCCCUGACCGUUCUAGAGAUAGGACUUUACCUUCGGGUACAGGGGACACAGGUGGUGCAUGGUUGUCGUCAGCUCGUGUCGUGAGAUGUUGGGUUAAGUCCCGCAACGAGCGCAACCCUUGCCUUUAGUUGCCAUCAUUAAGUUGGGCACUCUAGAGGGACUGCCGAUGAUAAAUCGGAGGAAGGUGGGGAUGACGUCAAAUCAUCAUGCCCUUUAUGUCCUGGGCUACACACGUGCUACAAUGGUCGGUACAACGAGAAGCAACAUAGCGAUGUGAAGCAAAACUCAAAAAGCCGAUCCCAGUUCGGAUUGCAGGCUGCAACUCGCCUGCAUGAAGUCGGAGUUGCUAGUAAUCGCGAAUCAGAAUGUCGCGGUGAAUGCGUUCCCGGGUCUUGUACACACCG
rnacentral:rRNA from 1 species